GACGAACGCUGGCGGCGUGCUUAACACAUGCAAGUCGAACGGAAAGGCCCUGCUUGUGUGGGGGGCUCGAGUGGCGAACGGGUGAGUAACACGUGAGUAACCUGCCCUUGACUUUGGGAUAACGUCAGGAAACGGGGGCUAAUACCGGAUAGGAGCUCCUGCUGCAUGGUGGGGGUUGGAACGCUUCGGCGGUUGGGGAUGGACUCGCGGCUUAUCAGCUUGUUGGUGGGGUAGUGGCUUACCAAGGCUUUGACGGGUAGCCGGCAUGGGAGGGUGACCGGCGACAUUGGGACUGAGAUACGGCCCAGACUCCAACGGGAGGCAGCAGUGGGGAAUAUUGCACAAUGGGCGGAAGCCUGAUGCAGCAACGCCGCGUGCGGGAUGACGGCCUUCGGGUUAUAAACCGCUUUGGCCUGUGACGAAGCGUGAGUGACGGUAAUGGGUAAAGAAGCACCGGCUAACUACGUG
rnacentral:rRNA from 1 species